UUUGAAGUUAUGUCUGCCGAAAACCACAUCUGGUUCACCGCCGCCUCAACAGACACACAAUGAAAUACAAAAGGCUAAUUCUGCUGUGUACGCAAUCCAUGUUUCUUUCCCCAGAGGAUUCCAGAUGGAGUGAACUCAGUAGAGGCGGUGCUUCGACGGCUGAUGAUCUUGCGGAGAGGAGAGAGGAGCAUUAGUUACGGUUUUAAGUCCCGGCUGAACUGGCAGGGGUUACAUGACCUCAGACUCAGGGCCUUGUUAAGGAUGUGCAUGCUUCUCCUUUGCCUUCCACCGUGAUUGUAAGUUUCCUGAGGCCUUCCCAGCAAUGCAGAACC
rnacentral:lncRNA from 1 species